rnacentral:rRNA from 1 species
UCAAGGUGUAUAUCGCCAUUGCUGCGGUUAAAAAGCUCGUAGUUGGAUCUGCGCCUUCGGACUCGGUCCGCCCAACGGGUGUGAACUGGGAUCCAAGGCUUAUACUGCUGGUUUUCCCUUGAUGCUCUUUACUGGGUGUCUUGGGUGGCUAGCGAGUUUACUUUGAAAAAAUUAGAGUGCUUAACACAGGCUAACGCCUGAAUACUUGUGCAUGGAAUAAUAGAAUAAGACCACGGUUCUAUUUUAUUGGUUUUCGGAACUGUGAUAAUGGUUAAGAGGGACAGACGGGGGCAUUCGUAUCGCUGCGUGAGAGGUGAAAUUCUUGGACCGCAGCGAGACGCCCUACUGCGAAAGCAUUUGCCAAGAAUGUCUUCGUUA